UACGGAGGGGGCGAGCGUUAUUCGGAAUUAUUGGGCGUAAAGGGCGCGUAGGCGGCUAGGUAAGUCAAAGGUGAAAUCCCCGGGCUCAACCCGGGAACUGCGUCCGAUACUGGCAGGCUUGAAUCCGGGAGAGGGUCGCGGAAUUCCCGGUGUAGAGGUGAAAUUCGUAGAUAUCGGGAGGAACACCAGUGGCGAAGGCGGCGACCUGGACAGAUAUUGACGCUGAGGUGCGAAAGCGUGGGGAGCAAACAGG
rnacentral:rRNA from 1 species